GUCCAUUGUUAUUCUGUGGUUUACACGAUUUAAUGUACCAUUUUAUUCGUAAAAUUUCUUAUACCAAGUCAGAAAUAUGUCAGUUGUAAUCUAAUGGUCCAUGAAAGUUGUAUGUUGUUUUGUUGCAGGUAAGUGUUUCUGUUGUUCCGUCAUUUCCUUUUAUAGUUGAUGUGUUUCCCUCAGUUUUAUUGUGACCCAGAAUUGUAUCCGCUUUAUCAAUUAGUGAAUAUUGAACAGCGGUAUACUACUGUUGCUUUUAUUUACACCUUUUGGCCAAUAAAAGUUAAAUGCAGCUAUAUAGUAAAAGAGAGGCGAAAGAUACCAGCGGAAUAUUCAAACUAAGAAGUCGGAAAUAAACUGACAAUACUAUGACUAAAAAGCAUUAGUGAAGCGAGCAGGAUCUGCCUACCUUUCCGGAAGAUAUAAUAUAAUAAAAUUGUUUGUGGG
rnacentral:lncRNA from 1 species